GACGAACCGUGCGAACGUUGUUCGGAAUCACUGGGCUUAAAGGGCGCGUAGGCGGCCGGGUUGGUCGUGGGUGAAAUCCCCCAGCUUAACUGGGGAACUGCCCACGAUACUGCCUGGCUCGAGGGAGGAAGGGGCGGUCGGAACUGUCGGUGGAGCGGUGAAAUGCGUUGAUAUCGACAGGAACGCCGGUGGCGAAAGCGGACCGCUGGCCCUCUUCUGACGCUGAGGCGCGAAAGCCAGGGGAGCGAACGGG
rnacentral:rRNA from 1 species